GGCGUGCCUAAUACAUGCAAGUCGAGCGAACCACUUAGGUGGUGAGCGGCGAACGGGUGAGUAACACGUAGGUGAUCUGCCCAUCAGACGGGGACAACGAUUGGAAACGAUCGCUAAUACCGGAUAGGACGAAAGUUUAAAGGUGCUUCUGGCACCGCUGAUGGAUGAGCCUGCGGCGCAUUAGCUAGUUGGUAGGGUAAAGGCCUACCAAGGCGACGAUGCGUAGCCGACCUGAGAGGGUGAACGGCCACACUGGGACUGAGACACGGCCCAGACUCCUACGGG
rnacentral:rRNA from 1 species